rnacentral:rRNA from 1 species
UUCCACAGCUAUAUCACCCUGCAGCCCAAGACUGGUCACCACUGAAGCUAAGCAGGGUUGAGCCUGGUCAGUACCUGGAUGGGAGACCUUCUGGAAAAACUGGGUUGCUGUUGGAA